CACGUAGGGCGCAAGCGUUGUCCGGAAUUAUUGGGCGUAAAGAGCUCGUAGGCGGUCUGUUGCGUCCGCUGUGAAAACUCGGGGCUUAACCCCGAGCCUGCAGUGGAUACGGGCAGACUAGAGGUAGGUAGGGGAGAAUGGAAUUCCCGGUGUAGCGGUGAAAUGCGCAGAUAGUCGGGAGGAACACCGGUGGCGAAGGCGGUUCUCUGGGCCUUACCUGACGCUGAGGAGCGAAAGCGUGGGGAGCGAACAGG
rnacentral:rRNA from 1 species